CGGGGUGUGGCUCACUCCGGUAGAGUGCUUGGUUCGGGACCAAGAGGCCGCUGGUUCGAAUCCAGUCACUCCGA
rnacentral:tRNA from 1 species